rnacentral:rRNA from 1 species
GAUGAACGCUGGCGGCGUGCCUAAUACAUGCAAGUCGAGCGAACAGACGAGGAGCUUGCUCCUCUGACGUUAUCGGCGGACGGGUGAGUAACACGUGGAUAACCUACCUAUAAGACUGGGAUAACUUCGGGAAACCGGAGCUAAUACCGGAUAAUAUAUUGAACCGCAUGGUUCAAUAGUGAAAGACGGUUUUGCUUUCACUUAUAGAUUGAUCCGCGCCGCAUUAGCUAGUUGGUAAGGUAACGGCUUACCAAGGCAACGAUGCGUAGCCGACCUGAGAGGGUGAUCGGACACACUGGAACUGAGACACGGUCCAGACUCCUACGGGAGGCAGCAGUAGGGAAUCUUCCGCAAUGGGCGAAAGCUUGACGGAGCAACGCCGCGUGAGUGAUGAAGGUCUUCGGAUCGUAAAACUCUGUUAUUAGGGAAGAACAAAUGUGUAAGUAACUAUGCACGUCUUGACGGUACCUAAUCAGAAAGCCACGGCUAACUACGUG